rnacentral:rRNA from 1 species
GAAACUGCGAAUGGCUCAUUAAAUCAGUUAUAGUUUAUUUGAUAAUCGAAAGUUACAUGGAUAACCGUGACAAAUUACAGCUAAUACAUGCAGUCAGACCUGGUCCAAGGGUCGUAAUUAUUAGAUAUUAAACCAAUUCCUUCGGGGUUGUGACGAAUCAUAGUAAUCGAACGAAUCGCAGCUUGCUGCGAUAAAUCAUUCAAGUUUCUGCCCUAUCAGCUUUGGAUGGUAGUGUAUUGGACUACCAUGGCAGUCACGGGUAACGGAGAAUUAGGGUUCGAUUCCGGAGAGGGAGCCUGAGAAACGGCUACCACAUCUACGGAAGGCAGCAGGCGCGAAAAUUGCCCAAUCCUGAUUCAGGGAGGCAGUGACAAGAAAUAACUACCCCAGGAUUUCUUGGGAGUGUAAUGAGGAUAAUUUACAAACCUUACCGAAAGCAAUUGGAGGGCAAGUCUGGUGCCAGCAGCCGCGGUAAUUCCAGCUCCAAUAGCGUAUAUUAAAGUUGUUGCAGUUAAAAAGCUCGUAGUUGAAAUUCUGGUUGCUAAGGAUUCUAGUCCUCGGACGGAGUUGCUUACAGCCAUCCGCUUGUAAGCAUAUGUUCACUCUUAACUGGGUGGCUAUGCGAGCAAGCAUUUUACCUUGAGAAAAACAGAGUGUUCCAGGCAGGCUUGUCCGGAAUGCAUUAGCAUGGAAUAAUAGAAUAUGACUGAGGUCUAUUUAUUGGUUUAAGGCCACAGUAAUGAUUAAUAGGAACAGUCGGGGGCAUUAGUACUUGACAGUCAGAGGUGAAAUUCUUGGAUUUGUCAAAGACUAACUGAUGCGAAAGCGUUUGUCAAGGAUGUUUUCAUUAAUCAAGAACGAAAGUUAGGGGAUCAAAGACGAUCAGAUACCGUCCUAGUCUUAACUAUAAACUAUACCGACUCGGAUUCAGAUGAAUCGUAAAGUUCAUUUGGGACCGUAGGAGAAAUCAAAGUCUUUGGGUUCUGGGGGGAGUAUGGUCGCAAGGCUGAAACUUAAAGGAAUUGACGGUUUUGCACCACCAUGGAGUGGAGCCUGCGGCUUAAUUUGACAACACUGGGAAACUCACCAGGGCAAGAAGAUUGUAGGAUUGACAGAUUGAGAGUUCUUUCUUGAUUGGUCUAGUGGUGGUGCAUGGCCGUUCUUAGUUGGUGGAGUGAUUUGUCUGGUUAAUUCCGUUAACGAACGAGACCUUAACCUGCUAACUAGUACUGGUAUUCAAAAUAUCAGUUACUUCUUAGAGGGACUAUGUGAUGUAAUCACAUGGAAGUUUGAGGCAAUAACAGGUCUGUGAUGCCCUUAGAUGUCCUGGGCCGCACGCGUGCUACAAUGACACAUUCAGCGAGUAUUUCCUGAUCCGACAGGAUUCGGGUAAUCUUUUUAGUGUGUGUCGUGUUAGGGAUAGAUCUUUGUAAUUAUGGAUCUUGAACGAGGAAUUCCUAGUAAGUGCAUGUCAUCAGCAUGUACUGAUUACGUCCCUGCAAAAUGUACACACCGCCCGUCGCUAUUGC